rnacentral:rRNA from 1 species
ACGAACGCUGGCGGCGUGCUUAACACAUGCAAGUCGAACGAAGAGCGAUGGAAGCUUGCUUCUAUCAAUCUUAGUGGCGAACGGGUGAGUAACGCGUAAUCAACCUGCCCUUCAGAGGGGGACAACAGUUGGAAACGACUGCUAAUACCGCAUACGAUCUAAUCUCGGCAUCGAGGAUAGAUGAAAGGUAGCCUCUACAUGUAAGCUAUCACUGAAGGAGGGGAUUGCGUCUGAUAGCUAGUUGGAGGGGUAACGGCCCACCAAGGCGAUGAUCAGUAGCCGGUCUGAGAGGAUGAACGGCCACAUUGGGACUGAGACACGGCCCAGACUCCUACGGGAGGCAGCAGUGGGGAAUCUUCCGCAAUGGACGAAAGUCUGACGGAGCAACGCCGCGUGAGCGAUGACGGCCUUCGGGUUGUAAAGCUCUGUUAAUCGGGACGAAAGGCCUUCUUGCGAAUAGGGAGAAGGAUUGACGGUACCGGAAUAGAAAGCCACGGCUAACUACGUG